GCACAGCAACGGGUGGAGCGUGCGGUUUAAUUGGAUUCAACGCCGGAAAUCUCACCGGAGGCGACGGUUAUAUGAAGGCCAGGCUGAUGACCUUGCCUGAUUUUCCGAGAGGUGGUGCAUGGCCGCCGUCAGUUCGUACCGUAAGGCGUUCUGUUAAGUCAGCCCCCGACCGAGACCCUCAUCUUUGGUUGCUACAGGUAAGUCCGCUUAUCAGGCACACUAAAGAAACCGCUGGCGAUAAGUCAGAGGAAGGCGAGGGCAACGGUAGGUCAGUAUGCCCUGAAUCCUCCGGGCUACACGCGCGCUACAAAGGCUAGGACAAUGGGCUUCAACACCGAAAGGUGACGGUAAUCCCGAAACCUAGUCGUAGUUCGGAUUGAGGAUUGAAACUCACCCUCAUGAAGCUGGAAUCCGUAGUAAUCGCAGAUCAACAUCCUGCGGUGAAUAUGCCCCUGCUCCUUGCACACACCGCCCGUCAAACCAUGCGAGUUGGGCCUGAGUGAGGAUAUAGUCUUUGCUAUGUUCGAACUUAGACUUAGUAAGCGGGGUU
rnacentral:rRNA from 1 species